UCCCUAUUAUAGCUGGACAAAUUUGUUUUCAUCUUUGAUAGGAAUAUUCUUUAUUUUGUAAUUACGUAAUUUCUUUGGAUAAUAUUAAGUAGUGUAUUUAGCUUUUCCACAAUAUAAACAUAGUCCUUCUUAACGACAAUGAGUCUUUUCUUGUUUGGUAAGAGGUUUAAAACAUACUACAUCAAUUUGCAUGUCUUUU
rnacentral:lncRNA from 1 species